rnacentral:tRNA from 1 species
GGGGAUUUAGCUCAGUGGUUAGAGCGCUGGCCUAGCAAGCGCAAGGCCCUGGGUUCGGUCCCCAGCUCCA